rnacentral:rRNA from 1 species
GAGAUAGCUGGUUCUCUCCGAAAUAGCUUUAGGGCUAGCCUCAAGUGAUGAUUAUUGGAGGUAGAGCACUGUUUGGACGAGGGGCCCCUCUCGGGUUACCGAAUUCAGACAAACUCCGAAUGCCAAUUAAUUUAACUUGGGAGUCAGAACAUGGGUGAUAAGGUCCGUGUUCGAAAGGGAAACAGCCCAGACCACCAGCUAAGGUCCCAAAAUAUAUGUUAAGUGGAAAAGGAUGUGGCGUUGCCCAGACAACUAGGAUGUUGGCUUAGAAGCAGCCAUCAUUUAAAGAGUGCGUAAUAGCUCACUAGUCGAGUGACACUGCGCCGAAAAUGUACCGGGGCUAAACAUAUUACCGAAGCUGUGGAUUGUCCUUUGGACAAUGGUAGGAGAGCGUUCUAAGGGCGUUGAAGCAUGAUCGUAAGGACAUGUGGAGCGCUUAGAAGUGAGAAUGCCGGUGUGAGUAGCGAAAGACGGGUGAGAAUCCCGUCCACCGAUUGACUAAGGUUUCCAGAGGAAGGCUCGUCCGCUCUGGGUUAGUCGGGUCCUAAGCUGAGGCCGACAGGCGUAGGCGAUGGAUAACAGGUUGAUAUUCCUGUACCACCUAUAAUCGUUUUAAUCGAUGGGGGGACGCAGUAGGAUAGGCGAAGCGUGCGAUUGGAUUGCACGUCUAAGCAGUAAGGCUGAGUAUUAGGCAAAUCCGGUACUCGUUAAGGCUGAGCUGUGAUGGGGAGAAGACAUUGUGUCUUCGAGUCGUUGAUUUCACACUGCCGAGAAAAGCCUCUAGAUAGAAAAUAGGUGCCCGUACCGCAAACCGACACAGGUAGUCAAGAUGAGAAUUCUAAGGUGAGCGAGCGAACUCUCGUUAAGGAACUCGGCAAAAUGACCCCGUAACUUCGGGAGAAGGGGUGCUCUUUAGGGUUAACGCCCAGAAGAGCCGCAGUGAAUAGGCCCAAGCGACUGUUUAUCAAAAACACAGGUCUCUGCUAAACCGUAAGGUGAUGUAUAGGGGCUGACGCCUGCCCGGUGCUGGAAGGUUAAGAGGAGUGGUUAGCUUCUGCGAAGCUACGAAUCGAAGCCCCAGUAAACGGCGGCCGUAACUAUAACGGUCCUAAGGUAGCGAAAUUCCUUGUCGGGUAAGUUCCGACCCGCACGAAAGGCGUAACGAUUUGGGCACUGUCUCAACGAGAGACUCGGUGAAAUCAUAGUACCUGUGAAGAUGCAGGUUACCCGCGACAGGACGGAAAGACCCCGUGGAGCUUUACUGUAGCCUGAUAUUGAAAUUCGGCACAGCUUGUACAGGAUAGGUAGGAGCCUUUGAAACGUGAGCGCUAGCUUACGUGGAGGCGCUGGUGGGAUACUACCCUAGCUGUGUUGGCUUUCUAACCCGCACCACUUAUCGUGGUGGGAGACAGUGUCAGGCGGGCAGUUUGACUGGGGCGGUCGCCUCCUAAAAGGUAACGGAGGCGCUCAAAGGUUCCCUCAGAAUGGUUGGAAAUCAUUCAUAGAGUGUAAAGGCAUAAGGGAGCUUGACUGCGAGACCUACAAGUCGAGCAGGGUCGAAAGACGGACUUAGUGAUCCGGUGGUUCCGCAUGGAAGGGCCAUCGCUCAACGGAUAAAAGCUACCCCGGGGAUAACAGGCUUAUCUCCCCCAAGAGUUCACAUCGACGGGGAGGUUUGGCACCUCGAUGUCGGCUCAUCGCAUCCUGGGGCUGUAGUCGGUCCCAAGGGUUGGGCUGUUCGCCCAUUAAAGCGGUACGCGAGCUGGGUUCAGAACGUCGUGAGACAGUUCGGUCCCUAUCCGUCGUGGGCGUAGGAAAUUUGAGAGGAGCUGUCCUUAGUACGAGAGGACCGGGAUGGACAUACCUCUGGUGUACCAGUUGUCGUGCCAACGGCAUAGCUGGGUAGCUAUGUGUGGACGGGAUAAGUGCUGAAAGCAUCUAAGCAUGAAGCCCCCCUCAAGAUGAGAUUUCCCAACUUCGGUUAUAAGAUCCCUCAAAGAUGAUGAGGUUAAUAGGUUCGAGGUGGAAGCAUGGUGACAUGUGGAGCUGACGAAUACUAAUCGAUCGAAGACUUAAUCAA